UGAAGGUGAAGUCGUAACAAGGUCUCCGUUGGUGAACCAGCGGAGGGAUCAUUACCGAGUUUACAACUCCCAAACCCCUGUGAACAUACCUAUACGUUGCCUCGGCGGAUCAGCCCGCGCCCCGUAAAACGGGACGGCCCGCCCGAGGACCCCUAAACUCUGUUUUUAGUGGAACUUCUGAGUAAAACAAACAAAUAAAUCAAAACUUUCAACAACGGAUCUCUUGGUUCUGGCAUCGAUGAAGAACGCAGCAAAAUGCGAUAAGUAAUGUGAAUUGCAGAAUUCAGUGAAUCAUCGAAUCUUUGAGCGCACAUUGCGCCCGCCAGUAUUCUGGCGGGCAUGCCUGUUCGAGCGUCAUUUCAACCCUCAAGCUCAGCUUGGUGUUGGGACUCGCGGUAACCCGCGUUCCCCAAAUCGAUUGGCGGUCACGUCGAGCUUCCAUAGCGUAGUAAUCAUACACCUCGUUACUGGUAAUCGUCGCGGCCACGCCGUUAAACCCCAACUUCUGAAUGUUGACCUCGGAUCAGGUAGGAAUACCCGCUGAACUUAAGCAUAUCAAUAAGCGGAGGAAAU
rnacentral:rRNA from 1 species